UGGGGAAUAUUGCGCAAUGGGCGAAAGCCUGACGCAGCGACGCCGCGUGAGGGAUGAAGGUUUUCGGAUCGUAAACCUCUGUCAGAAGGGAAGAAACCGCACUGUGCUAAUCAGCAGUGCCUUGACGGUACCUUCAAAGGAAGCACCGGCUAACUCCGUGCCAGCAGCCGCGGUAAUACGGAGGGUGCAAGCGUUAAUCGGAAUUACUGGGCGUAAAGCGCACGUAGGCUGCUUUGUAAGUCAGGGGUGAAAUCCCACGGCUCAACCGUGGAACUGCCUUGGAUACUGCUUAGCUUGAAUCCGGGAGAGGGUGGCGGAAUUCCAGGUGUAGAAGUGAAAUCCGUAGAUAUCUGGAGGAACAUCAGUGGCGAAGGCGGCCACCUGGACCGGUAUUGACGCUGAGGUGCGAAAGCGUGGGGAGCAAACAGG
rnacentral:rRNA from 1 species